CACAAUAAAUGAAAUUAAAAGGACUCUAGAUGGGAUCAAUAGCAGAAUAACUGAGGCAGAAGAACGGAUAAGUGACCUGGAAGAUAAAAUAGUGGAAAUAACUACUGCAGAGCAGAAUAAAGAAAAAAGAAUGAAAAGAACUGAGGACAGUCUCAGAGACCUCUGGGACAACAUUAAACGCACCAACAUUCGAAUUAUAGGGGUUCCAGAAGAAGAAGAGAAAAAGAAAGGGACUGAGAAAAUAUUUGAAGAGAUUAUAGUUGAAAACUUCCCUAAUAUGGGAAAGGAAAUAGUUAAUCAAGUCCAGGAAGCACAGAGAGUCCCAUACAGGAUAAAUCCAAGGAGAAAUACGCCAAGACACAUAUUAAUCAAACUGUCAAAAAUUAAAUACAAAGAAAACAUAUUAAAAGCAGCAAGGGAAAAACAACAAAUAACACACAAGGGAAUCCCCAUAAGGUUAACAGCUGAUCUUUCAGCAGAAACUCUGCAAGCCAGAAGGGAGUGGCAGGACAUAUUGAAAGUGUUGAAGGAGAAAAACCUGCAACCAAGAUUACUCUACCCAGCAAGGAUCUCAUUCAGAUUUGAUGGAGAAAUUAAAACCUUUACAGACAAGCAAAAGCUGAGAGAGUUCAGCACCACCAAACCAGCUCUACAACAACUGCUAAAGGAACUUCUCUAGGCAAGAAACACAAAAGAAGGAAAAGACCUACAAUAACAAACCCAAAACAAUUAAGAAAAUGGGAAUGGGAACACACAUCUCGAUAAUUACCUUAAAUGUAAAUGGACUAAAUGCUCCCACCAAAAGACACAGAUUGGCUGAAUGGAUACAAAAACAAGACCCAUAUAUUUGCUGUCUACAAGAGACCCACUUCAGACCUAGAGACACAUACAGACUGAAAACAAUUUCCAAUUCGUCUCCACAAAGAGACCAGAAUAAGCACCUUCCAAUACAGGAUUUAUUGUGUUGCUUUAAUUUAAAGCAUACAGUGACUUCUACAUUCACUCCACCAAGUUUUGCCAGGAGAGAAAAGGAGACGUUAUAGUUUGUCUUGAAUUAGAUAUGCCACCAUAUUUGACUUAGCUCAUCCUACUGGAAGCACUUUGAGGGCAGAUUCUACAGUCUUGUCUUACAUCCUCUACGGAAUCAAGCCAAGGGAAUCACACACAGUUACAGCUGGAAAAACAUUUGUUCUGGGUUAAUACUUUUAGCCUUUACCACCAAGACUUUAUCACCAAGACCUACCUUUACAGUCUCUAAACAGGAGACCUUCUUGCCUUCCCUUUUCAUAUUGACUAGGAAGGUAAAGGGAAGAACUGAGAAGUACCCAAAGUCAGCUAGCAGCCAGCACAGAUAAAUCAUCUGUGGAGAUAUUGUUUCUUUCAAAAGAUAUAAACAUAAGAGGAAGUCCUAGUGUUUGAAGCAACUGUGCAUAAUAAAAUUCCAUGAAAACCUAGAAAUCCAGAUGCAGAUCAGUAACAUAUUGGUUAAAUAAGCUGUUAUGUUCAUGCAAUGGACAAGUGUACAUACAUUAAGAAGAACGAGAUACUCUUUUCUAUGAGAUUCUCUUUUCACUGAACUCAUCAGUGCUGCAAACACAAUGUUACAUAAUACUUUUUCUUUAACAUUAUAUCAGGCAUCCUCAUCUUGUCCUGCAUUUAUUGCCAGUGUUACUAAAGUCUAUCACUUACCUCUUUCUCUUUUAGACAUAUAAUUUCUUCUUAUUUUGGAAGCAUUCAUCAAUCCCUAUUUUACUCUUUCUUUUAAAUUACAAAUGAAUAUUGAAUUUUAUAAAAUAUCUUUUGGGGGAUAUUUCAAGUGAUUGUAUACUUUUGCUCUCCUUUGACCUUGUUAUAUGGUAAAUUAUAUUUUGUUAUUU